ensembl:lncRNA
UGUCCCAUUGACCCCUAUACGCCCCCAUAUCCCCAUUGACCCCAAUGGCCCAUAGGCCCUAGGCCCCUAUAUCCCCCAUUGAACCCCAAUUUUGCCCCCUAUAUCCCCCAUUGACCCCAUAUCCCCCAUUGAACCCAUGUCCCCAUUUGACCCCAUUGACCCCAUGGACCCCAUAUCCCCAUUGUUUCCCAUUGCCCCAUUAACCUCUCCCCAUUGCCCCCGCAGAGUGGGUGCGGGCGCCAUUGCUGUGAGCUGCUGAAGAACUUCGCCCCAUGUUGGGGUUGGGCUGCGGCCCGACGGCUGCGUCACCGUCACCGACAUGGACCACCAUCGAAAGUCCAACCUCAACCGGCAGUUCUGUUCCGGCCAUGGGACGUCACGGUGAGCGGGAAGUGGAACGGGCCUACAAGGAAGUGGGCCUAAGCAGGAAGUGGGGCCUACACAGGAAGUGGGGCCUAAGCAGGAAGUGGGGCCUAAGCAGGAAGUGGAAGGGGCCUAGACAGGAAGUGGGGCCUAAGCAGGAAGUGGGGCCUAAGCAGGAAGUGGGGCCUAGGCAGGAAGUGGGGCCUAGACAGGAAGUGGGGCCUAAACAGGAAGUGGGGUCUACACAGGAAGUGGGGCCUAAGCAGGAAGUGGGGCCUAAGAAGGAAGUGGAAGGGGUCUCUAUAGUUUGUGUGGGCUCUAUAUGGGCUCUGUAUGGGCUGUGUGGGCUCUAUGUGGUCCCUAUGGGCUUUAUAUGGGCUCUAUGGUCUUUAUGGUCUCUAUAUGGGUUCAGUGUAGUCUCUGUAGUCUCUAUGGGUUCUAUAUGGGAUCUCUAUGGGCUCUGUACGGGCUGUAUGGGCUCUUUCUGGGGCUGUAUGGGCUCUAUGGGGCUGUAUGAGCUCUAUGGGGCUGUAUGGACUCUAUGGGGCUGUAUGGACUCUAUGGGGUUGUAUGGUCUCUAUGGGGCUGUCUAUGGGGUUUGAGCUCUCUAUGGGUUCUAUAUGGGAUCUCUAUGGGCUCUAUAUAGGCUGUAUGGGCUCUCCGUGGGCUGUAUGGGCUCUGUGGGGUUCUAUAGGACUCUAUGGGGUUCUCUAGGACUCUAUGGGGCUGUAUGGGUUCUCCAUGGGCUGUAUGGUAUCUCCAUGGGCUGUAUGGUAUCUAUGGGUCUGUCUAUGUGGUUCUGAGCUCUCUAUGGGGCUCUAUAUGGUCUCUAUGGGGUUCUAUAGGACUCUAUGGGGCUCUAUAGGACUCUAUGGGGCUGUAUGGGCUCAGUGGGGUUCUAUAGGACUCUAUGGGGUUCUAUAGGACUCUAUGGGGCUGUAUGGACUCUAUGGGAUUGUAUGGUCUCUAUGGGGCAUUCUAUGGGGUUCUGAGCUCUCUAUGGGGCUCUAUAUGGUCUCUAUGGGGUUCUAUAGGAGUCUAUGGGGCUGUAUGGGCUCUAUGGGGUUCUAUAGGACUCUAUGGGGCUGUAUGGGCUCUACGGGGCUCUAUAGGACUCUGUGGGGUUCUAUAGAACUCUAUGGGGUUCUAUAGGACUUUAUGGGGCUGUAUGGGCUCUGUGGGGUUCUAUAGGACUCUGGGGUUCUAUAGGACUCUAUGGGGUUCUAUAGGACUCUAUGGGGUUGUAUGGUCCCUAUGGGUCUGUCUAUGGGGUUUGAGCUCUCUAUGGGUCUCUAUAUGGUUUCUAUGGGGCUCUAUAUGGUCUCUAUGGGUCUGUCUAUGGGGUUCUGAGCUCUCUAUGGGGCUCUAUAUGGUUUCUAUGGGGCUCUAUAUGGUCUCUAUGGGGCUGUCUAUGUGGUUCUGAGCUCUCUAUGGGGCUCUAUAUGGUCUCUAUGGGGCUCUAUAUGGUCUCUAUGGGUCUGUCUAUGGG